ensembl:lncRNA
CGGCUCGCCGGGCUCCGGGCGCUGCCAAGUUACCGGGGCGCCGUGGGACUCAGUGCUUGGGGCCGCGCUCCUCUGCGCACCCCCCGGCUGCCCCUCCGCAGCCCCGGGGGCGUCCGCAGUGCCCGCGGGUGGCGUCCGGGAAAUGGGCUGGCAGCCGGGGCGCGCGCUGCCGGCGGGGCUGAGCCUCUGCUGCUAGCUUCCCCCAGCCGAGCGCCUCCGCCGCCGCCGCCUCCUCCUCCUCAUUCAAGUCCAAGGAGAUCGGGUUUCGCUCCGAGACCGCGGUCGGAGGCAGGCAGACGGUCUGACGUCAGCGCUAGACGGGGCUGCCGGUUCCCACCGCGCGGGGGCCGGGGAGGGGGCGCGCGCUGCGCCAAUCCCCGCCGAGGUUCUCCCGCACCCCCUCCCCGGGCCGCGGGGCGGGGUGACGGGGAAGGGGGCGGGCUCUUAAAGGGCCAGAGCAAGGCGGUCCGCGUAGACCCGGGACCCGCGAGGCGAAAGAAGGGUGCAGCGUCCCCUCACAAACGGCGGUCAGUUUGGAAGCUCUGCCCCGCGCAGGCCAGGCCCGGGAGAGCGGGAUUGGGUCCCAGCCUUUGUGGGUGCGUUCCCCCCAACCCAGGCCUCGGGGUCCUUGACCGAGGCUUUGGGGGGAAGCUUGUCCCCCUUCAAAGGAGCACGAGGUCCCUCGGACUCGAGGCAGGGGAAAUUAGGGAAAGGAGGGGAGCCCUUCAGGUCGUCCGUUACCUGAUUUCGCUGUCAACUCCCCGAUUCCAGAUCUGCAGCUCCAAGAGGCCCCAGCCCACUGCGCCCCCCCGCGCAAUUUAUCUCGACCUAGAGGAGGUCGACUGGGGAAAACUAGAACUCCUGUAGACACGCCCCGGACUGCUCCGAAAAACGCCCGGGAACCCUUGUCAUGUAAAUACGUGUCGGGGACUUGUACUGUCCCAGCCAGCGAGGCCCGGGGCGAAUCCACACCCUACGUCUGCUGCCCAGAGGGCCACUGGCCUGCGGUGGGCGAGAGGAAAGAAGCGGCUCCGGAGUUCUAAAGACGGGGGAGGAAGUGCGGGGGUGUACUUUUAUUUCAAGUUUUAAUUACACAAGUGCUACAAGAACACAUUCUCCUGGAAUUAAAAAGAUAUUAAAAUAUUAUGUAAGAGGCCCCCCUGCCUGGCACAUCUCCAUCCUCUCAACAAUGCGGUGUGUCCUCUCCUAGACCCUGCCCUGAGUCUCUAUUUAUUUAACAAGUACUUACUACCUUGUGCUAGAAACUUGCCAAACAAGAAGGCAAUCUGACACCUACUCUGAGGGCCAGGUAUAUUAUUAUUCCCAUUUUACAGACACGGAAACUGGAGGGGUGAGGGUGUCACACAAUGGAGGAGUUCUAAGCUGAACCCAGGUCAGACCCCCCUACCCCAAAUAUUUUUAGUUCUUGAAAUAUCCUCCACAUAUCCGUGUACUGCCUGGAAUUUUCUUAAUAGGCAAAGUUUUGCACUGGGGAGGGGGUCAGGGAGGGGGCGGGCAGCAGUGGUGGGGGGAGGCUUAAAAGUUAUGGAACCAGAGCUGUAUCUCCCAGAACUCAGAGAAAGCCAGCCCAGGAAGUGGUGAGGUCUCUUCUGCAACUGGGCACAGUGAUGCCUCUUGCUUUCUUAGCACAAACCGAAAGCUUUUUCUAGAGGGUUCAAAGCCCAGGGCCCCGGAAGGGAGGGCCUGCUCAGGACUUACCAUGGAGGGGACCCAUGUCACAGACUCAUGGCAGUCUCAGGCCCUCCCUUAAAGAAGAGGCAGGUCUCACCAACACGUCUAAGGAAGGAGGGGGGAGGUCUUGCUGCAGUUUAACUUCAGCAGCUUGGAGGAAAAGCAGGAGAGUCUUGAGCAUUCCUUGGGGGCAGGGCUGGGGUGGGGGGUAGUGAGAAUGUUGUCAGGGCCUGGGAAUGACCUUGAGCCCCAUUCACGUGUCAGGCCACAGGGGGUCACCAGCAUUUCCCCUCCUUUCAGCCAUUCCUUGAGUCAUUCAAACAACAGACAUUCCCUGAGCUGUAGAGAGCCCUGAGUGUCAGGAAUUGGCUGAGGUCAGGAGCGGCUGUCUCUACCCUCCUGAAGUCUUACAGCUGAUCUGGCCUGUCGGCCACAAGAAUCACACAGGUUGAUUGCCUUGGAAAUGGGGCAGCAUUUUAUACAAUCCAGGUUAAACCACUGGCCGGCAAAAAUAACCAGUUAAUUCAGUGGAUGAAAAAAAACAAAUCCACAAUAUCAACCUCUGGUUGAUCUGUCUGGGACAACAGCACGGGAACAUUUAAUGAGCACCUACAUUGUGAUCACACUGUUUUGAUGGUGUCAGCGGGGAUGAGUUAUUGGUCUCCAUCCUGGUUCCAAAGUGAGUUUUGCCUGGAGGCCUAAUGCAGAGAGUCAGUGUGGUGGUGGCAACUGCACCUCCAAAGAUGAGUGGGAUACAGUCAUGUGACCUCGGUGAGUACCUUCAUCUCUCCGACCUCAGUUUCCUUCUCUUCAAAAGAAGGGAAUGGGAAUAAUGGGAAUGCUAAUAGUGUCUUUGCCUGGGGUGAUCCAAAGAGGUGAAGGAGGCAGUGGCUUUGAAGUUGGUAAGAAGAGGGUUGAAUAUAUAUUAGCGUGUAUGCGUGCUCAGUAACUUCAGUCGUGUCUGACUCUUUGCGACCCCAUGGACUGUAGCCCGCCAG